GAUGAACGCUGGCGGCGUGCCUAACACAUGCAAGUCGAGCGAUUCUCUUCGGAGAAGAGCGGCGGACGGGUGAGUAACGCGUGGGUAACCUGCCCUGUACACACGGAUAACAUACCGAAAGGUAUGCUAAUACGGGAUAAUAUAUAAGAGUCGCAUGACUUUUAUAUCAAAGAUUUUUCGGUACAGGAUGGACCCGCGUMUGAUUAGCUUGUUGGCGGGGUAMCGGCCCACCAAGGCGACGAUCAGUAGCCGACCUGAGAGGGUGAUCGGCCACAUUGGAACUGAGACACGGUCCAAACUCCUACGGGAGGCAGCAGUGGGGAAUAUUGCACAAUGGGCGCAAGCCUGAUGCAGCAACGCCGCGUGAGCGAUGAAGGCCUUCGGGUSGUAAAKCUYUGUCCUCAAGGAAGAUAA
rnacentral:rRNA from 1 species